UACGUAGGGUCCGAGCGUUGUCCGGAAUUACUGGGCGUAAAGAGCUCGUAGGUGGUUUGUCGCGUUGUUCGUGAAAACUCACAGCUCAACUGUGGGCGUGCGGGCGAUACGGGCAGACUGGAGUACUGCAGGGGAGACUGGAAUUCCUGGUGUAGCGGUGAAAUGCGUAGAUAUCAGGAGGAAUACCGAUGGCGAAGGCAGGUCUCUGGGCUGACACUGACGCUCAUGCACGAAAGCGUGGGGAGCAAACAGG
rnacentral:rRNA from 1 species